rnacentral:rRNA from 1 species
UACAGAGGGUGCGAGCGUUAUCCGGAAUUAUUGGGCGUAAAGAGCUCGUAGGCGGUUUGUCGCGUCUGCUGUGAAAACUGGAGGCUCAACCUCCAGCCUGCAGUGGGUACGGGCAGACUAGAGUGCGGUAGGGGAGACUGGAAUUCCUGGUGUAGCGGUGAAAUGCGCAGAUAUCAGGAGGAACACCGAUGGCGAAGGCAGGUCUCUGGGCAUUAACUGACGCUGAGGAGCGAAAGCAUGGGGAGCGAACAGG